rnacentral:rRNA from 1 species
UUGAAAGGGAAACGAUUGAAGUCAGUCGUGCUGGCGCGAAACAACCUUCUCAUCGCGAGAUCACAUGGGGGCGAGGCUCAAAACCCUCACGAAGCGUGAUCACUUGGAGAAAUGGCACUUUUUCGUGCCCUGGUUAACAUCUAUUUUUAACGUCAUAAAAAGGGUGUGGGGAUGUGGGUCUCUCGGGGGUGUUAUAUACUUUAGCGGAAUGUGNGGUUCGGGAUUGAGANUUGUGNNAAAUACCUUUAGGGCUGUUCCCCCUGGCUUCUCAUUGGUAUACUGGGGACGACAGCUUGCUGACGUUGUUAGGAUUCGCCUUUGAACAGGCUAGAGUGUGAGCAAAUUCGUUAAGGAUGUUGACGUA